rnacentral:rRNA from 1 species
UACGUAGGGUGCAAGCGUUGUCCGGAUUUAUUGGGCGUAAAGAGCUCGUAGGCGGCUUGUCGCGUCGACUGUGAAAACCCGUGGCUCAACCAUGUGGUCUGCAGUCGAUACGGGCAGGCUAGAAUUCGGUAGGGGAGACUGGAAUUUACGGUGUAGCGGUGAAAUGCGUAGAUAUCGUAAGGAAGACCAGUGGCGAAGGCGGGUCUCUGGACAGUUCCUGACGCUGAGGCACGAAGGCCAGGGGAGCAAACGGG